rnacentral:rRNA from 1 species
UACGUAGGAGACGAGCGUUGUCCGGAGUUACUGGGCGUAAAGGGCGCGCAGGCGGCCUCCCGCGUGAGUGGUGAAAGCUCCCGGCUUAACUGGGAGAGGUCCAUUCAGACGGGGAGGCUUGAGCGUCGGAGAGGGGCAUGGAAUUCCGGGUGGAGCGGUGAAAUGCGUAGAGAUCCGGAGGAACACCAAUGGCGAAGGCAGUGCCCUGGCCGACGGCUGACGCUCAGGCGCGAAAGCGUGGGGAGCAAAC